rnacentral:sRNA from 1 species
CAAGACCUAAUGCAAUUGUAGCAACACAUAGACCAACAGUAGCAUCAGUCUUUAAUUUUUUUUCUUCAGUGGCUACCCAUUUGAAAUAUCCUGCAAGUACCUACAGUGCUCCUGUCACUUACUUGAAGAAAUCUGAGUCUACCUAUGGAGGUAGCACAAAAGUUCUAAAAAUGACAGAUGAUCUCAGAGGGCGACUACCACAGAAACGCACACAAUCUGAAAUAGCUUACGGAUCAUCUGGAAGACCAAGAUCUCAUAAAGGAACACUACCACGAUCUCGUUCUCAUACUGACUUAGGAGCAUUGUAAGAAGUGUUUGAGUGUCACCACAAGAUUUGCCUUAUUCAAGUUGACUUAAGUUGACAUUUCCAGUAGAUCAUUUACUGAACACACAUCUUUUGUUAACAUGCUUUUCUUUCUUCAUUGUUUUUUUUUAAGAGUAAGUUAAUGGUGGUGAUUGAUUAGCUGCUAAGGUUGUUUGUGUAUUGAUAGUAUUCACUUUGUUAUUGAAUGUUGAUGUGUGAUAUCUAGAAAAUGCAGUCACUUCAGGCUGGUAAUAUUUAAGCACUUAGUUACUAAGACAUUUUACCUUUUUUUUUUGGACAUUUUAUACAUAUAUAUAUAUUUAUAUACACUUUCAAUGAUUAAAAACAGACAAUAUUGUCUUGUUUUAAAUGGACUUGCAACUGAAUGUAACUGUCACAUAAGAAAAGGAAAUGAUUUUUGAUCCCUUAUUUCAACUUAGUUGGUGUUAGCACUGACUGUUUUGCUGAGAAUCCUAUUUAUUGAUAUAUUUGAACAAAGUGUCUGAAUAUUUGGUACAAGAAAUAAAUAGACAAGGCCUUAGAAAUCAUUGAAAUCACUAAUUGGAAGAUUGAUGGUUCUAACUGCUAUACCAUACAGUAACUGUUUGCUGCCCUGUCUGAGUCACUAAUGGAGUAGCCAGCUAGAAAACAUUGAUGAAAACCAUUUGUAAAUAUCCUAACUCCAUGAUGGGCUAAUAUUAUUGUGAAUGUAUUUUCAUCUGUAUAUUAAACUCACUAUUUUAGUGUUUCUUUA